rnacentral:lncRNA from 1 species
AACUCAUGUCUUUCUGUUCUGCAGGAAAAAAAAAAAGAAAAAAAGAAAAAAAGAUAUGCACCUUAAAAGUAAUCUCUGAAGAUCUGAGGCAAUGUUCUAAAGGAUCAGCAGUGCUACAGUCUGUGCUGCAGAGGCCAGGAACUCUGUCAAACAAUAUAUGCUACAAGACUGGAUCCAGAGCAGCCUGGAAUGAAGGUGUAGUGCUGGCAGAGAGGAAGAUGAAAAAUAUCUGGUUUCACUGGAAAUUCUUUGUCUUCAAUGAGAAUUACCACACGCUGAGACACACCAAGAAUGAGGGAAACAUUCAUACUCACUAUGGAACACCAUUUGUGAUGAAAUUUUCAGAGGAUGAGAUGUGCAGAAAACCACAACAGACAAUGGGCCAUUGAGUGUCUCUGUGUUGUUGAUCUGCACAGGAGCCAAGGAGGACUUCAGAGAAAUACCAGGUGUGGGUUUUUUGUUUUGUUUUGGGUUUUUUGGUUUUUUUUUUUGCUAGCUUGAUAAGAAUGUUACUUAGAGAGCAAACUUUCAGACUGAUCAGACAUGCAGGACAGGGCAAUGCAUGGAAAAACAGCCAGUGAGAUUGAAUAUUCCAAAGGGUUUGGAUUUCUUGGUAAAUUCAGUACCUGUGUCAUGAAUCAAAGGCAGUAAGUACAUCUUCAAGGUGCUGAUACGUAAGAAGGCUGUAUCUAAAUGCAGUACUGAUGUCUAUAGGAUGCAACAGUGCAUAAAUAAUUAAAUAAUCUCUCCGUCUUGUCAAGUGGUGCAUGUAUUGCUCUUGGCCAUAUUAACAAUACAGGGGGUGUAGGCUAGAGGAAACUGCUGUUUCUGGAUAACCCUGCUGUACUUCUGAACAGGGAGAGCUUUCCUCAGAGGAGAUAUUACCACAUGCUCAUCUCAGCAGACUGUCUUUCAAGUCUCAGUGAGCCCUAAGGCUCUUCAACAAGAAGGAGCUGACAAUAAAGUACUGGUUUCUUAGGCA